GUCUGGAAAAGUGAGUGGGAAAUCUCACAUGAACAGCCUGUCUCAUGAUAUUUCAGCACUUCCACUUCUGGCCCUGGACAGAACCAGGAAGUGCAGAGGCGUGCUCAAGUGAAAAAUACUGGAAAAAAUGUUAUAAGAACACUUCCCAACUUGCAAAAACAUUUGGUUACAUUUGAAUUUUAGGCACAGUUAUGGGUUAGUUCUUAUAAUGUCUGAACUCAUUUAUUCAUCCCUACUGAAAAUGUCACAAGUUCAGAACUUUGCAAAACGCUUAUCCACAAGGAAGGUUUAGAAAAACAAUGUUCCACCAUCAAGGUAACAAACUUGGCACAGAAGAAAGGUAGACAGUUGCUAGUGGAAAUGAAGAUAUAAAACAAUGAAAUAUAUCUGGUAGUCAUGAGAGCAACAUAAACUUAAGCACAGGAGGAUUCAAUUUCCAGGGCACUUAGGUUCUUUUGGAAGACAUAGGUUUUGAAAGAUCCAUAGUAUUUGGGUAAACUAAGUAUGAACAGAGGGGUCCCACCAAUGUACUGGUGAAAGGUUACUGAGCUGCAAGGGAGUGUCUGGGUUGACAGCCAAAGGAAGGGGCAGACACAGAAAUCUAUACUGAAACCAGCAUAAAGGAAAAAGAUGUGCCUAACCAGGCAGAUGGCUGAACUGAAAGGAAAUAAUAUGAUGCAGUGAAACGUGUACCAUGAAGCCAGAAAGGGGUUGGGGGGAGGGGAGAGAAGAAAAUAAAAUCAAGAGAAAUCAACAAAAAAGGAAGUUGCCUGGAGGACGUUUUUUAAGUUGUGGCCAUAAAACAUCAGGUGACGAGAACAGCUAAAGAUUUAGGGGAAAGAAAGAAAGAAAGAAAGAAAGAAAGAAAGAAAGAAAGAAAGAAAGAAAGAAAGAAAGAAAGAAAGAAAGAAAGAAAGAAAGAAAGAGUUGGAGAACAUAUAGAAGAGUGAACAGGAAUUUAAGAUAAAUGUUAGACAAAAAUGAACAAUAAAAGAGGCUUGGAGAUCUAUUCUAGAAAAAAGCAAGAAGCUUCUUGAGGCAUAAAAUAUGCCGAAGGAAACCAGGACCCAGCCAAAACAGGUGUCAAUGACCACGCGAUGGGCAAGACAGUGGAAAAUCAGGCUCAAUACUCUCAGCAUGGUCCAGUGGUCAGUGGCUUCAUAUUACACUUUGAAUCAGCAGUAAGUUUCCUGGACCAAUAGUGAAUUUUCACUUCAUGACUUGCCUAACAGAGAGAGAUGCCAGUGCUCACAGGAAGGAAGGAGAGCGCCAUCACUGAGUGGAAUUACCGAGAUCAAGCUUCCAGAGAUAUUACUAUGCUAUGAGCCCUUCUGUCAAACUGUUCUGCCUUACUCUACCCUUAACUAACAUCUUUGGCACCACUGAUUAGUCAAGUUUCCACGCUUAUUCUUUUCAAUUUUAAAAUAUGACUCAAGAUGGAAAUUAAAGCUUUUUUUUUUUUUUUGUUAAACUCAAAAUGUCAACACAGGUAAAUCUCCUCCCUGGCUCUAAUAAUAGGGAAACAGCAUUGCACAGUGAGGCCAAACCUGAGGCAAAUUAGCUUCUUGUUCUUUUCAUUGAUUGUAAAGGGGAGAAUGCUACUUGAGCAUCUGAGAAGACAAGCAAUAAAAUGUAUUUCUCUUGCAGGCAAAUCUUAGAACAGAUAGCAAAACAAUCUCAGUCUCUUGCUAAAGGCAUACUCACUAAUUGAAACAGAAAUAAAAUGAGGAAUGGGAAAGAGAUAAAGCUACAAAGUUAUGUCUCACUCCAAUUAGUAGGUAGGGAGUUAAAAAAAACACAAUCAAGUUAAAGACAUUCUACAAGUUUCAGCAUUGAAAACUGGAAAGGAAAAACAAGCUGUAAAAUCGCAGGCACCUGGUCUUGAAAGCACAAUCUAGAGCAUUUUCACUGAAGUAAUAUUUUACAACUGCAUACAGUCCAGUGACAAAUCAAACUAAAACAGCAAGAUCAACUGACGAACAUUUCCCCUGUUGCAAUUAAGCAUAGAGAUCAGAGAUUAUAAAAGGCCAAGGGGGGAGUCCAUCCCUUUUGCCAGUACAGGAUUGUUCCAGAUAGGUCACAAGAUCCUCAGCUGGGGCCAUGAUCCACUCAGUGCAGCUGAGGAAGGAGUGGGCAAAGGUGACUUAAAGUCAAUUUCAAACAGCCUCAGGUGGUUCUAAAUUAUUCCCAAUUGCAACAGCUAGACAUUACCCAAGCACAACAAUGUUCUGAUCAUGCAGCCUGUCCCCAAUGACUGCAAGAGAGGGUGGUGGUAUAGUGCUAGAAUAGUUUGAUGCCAUUCAAGGAUUCCCACAAUGCUGGGGGAAUCCCCAAGGGGCUGGAGCCACUGAGCCUCCAGCUGAUUUAUGCUGUUUAGAGGUACAAAGGAGGAGGGUCUGGCCCACUACAUUUGCAGGCGCCUUAUCUAGUCUAGUUUUAAAUGUCUCCAGAUAUUUGGCUUCCACUGCUUCCAUUAGCCUGUCCGACAGUGUAACAGAUUUCACCAUUUGGAAGUGUACAUUUAGCUUCAUUUGUCUUCUAUCACCCAAUACAAAGGCUAAUCAUCCAUGGGAUUUACACUCCUCAUAUUUUUAAGGACAGUUAUAGCCUACCCCCCACUCCCUUAUGUCCUGUUCAGUCAAACUAUUACUAUUAGUUUCUUUUGACCGUUCCUAACAAAUCACUCCCUUUGCCCCCUUGAUAACUUUUGUUGCUGUUCUCUGAAUAACUGCCAGUUUAUAUAUUUCUAGCAUUUUGGGGCCCACAACUGCAUGCAGUAUUCUAGGUGCUUUCUCACCAGAGCCAAGUAGAGAGGAACUAUUAUCUUCCUGCUCUGUGUUGCAAAGCCUCUGGGUAUGCAGCUCAAAAUUGCAUUGACUUUUUUUGCUCUCAUACUGCACUGCAAUCUCAUUUCUAACACUGCUGUCUCUCCUAGUUUCCCAUUCUAAUAGCAUAUUAAAAUUGAUACAGAAACCAUGUCUCAUUUUUAUGUAAUUUUUUAUAUUGCUACUAUUUGGUUUUUGUAUUAAACCACCAAAACUGCAAGGCUGAUAUUUUAAAUAAGAUUGUUCUGAUGUUCCCUAAUGGCCAGGUAUAUGUAUACUCACCAUUUAGAAAUAAAAUAAUAACUAAUUCAUAC